AAUCAAGGUGUUGGUCAAUUUGGUCCCUGGAGAGAUCUCUCUUUCUGGUUUACAGAUGGCUGCUUUCUUGUUGUAUUCUCACACAGUAGAAAGAGAGAUUAUUUCCCUUUUGUGAUGGCUUCACUCUCAACAACUUAAUUACCUUCCUAAGGCCCCACCUCUAAAUAUCUUGGCUUUGGGGUUUAAUGUUCAACGUACGAAUUUUGAAGGAAGACAAAGAAUCAGUCCAAAGCAGCCUCCUUCAGGAGGUGAAGGUUGUCUUCUGAGAGAUCAUCUGAAGUGGAAAUGUGGCCUCCAGACACAAUUUGCUUUUUGGGGAUGACAUCAACUCAUGUUAUAAGAGCAGGAUAUAUUGACAACUGGAGUUUUAAAGGACCUACCAAAAGAGCUUCCUUGGGUUGCUAACCAAGAGAGAACUUCGAGGACUGCACUACAGAAAUUAUUGCAUUAUAUAGAUGCAGAUCAAUCCUAGAGUAUCACCCCUAACACCAUUUCCUGAGCGAAGAUUUACUGAGUGCUACUACGUGCAGGACCCUGUGAGGCAAUGAGAAGACGGAAGACCCCACAGACCCAGGAAUGUGGUAACGCGCAAUGGCUUCUAAAUCAGCUGGAACUCAAUUCCUGGAAGUUGCCUAAGAACACUUUGUUGCGUCUAACCAGCAGGCAUGCCGACAAGAGUUGGCUCGGCUUUUCCCACCUGUUCUUCAAGCAAGGACAUCAGCUUGGCUAAAUGGGGCCUUCAGCAAGAAAAACAAAACAAAACAAAAACCUAGCAAGUUCCCAUGGGCCUUAGAAACAAUCCGCUCUGCUUCUCUACUUCUUGGAAAAUAAGGUGUAUUUGAAUGUCAAGCCCUUUGUUUCUCUCCAAAUACCUCCUGGAGGGGGCUUCCCUUUGACCUGUCCCAGUUUAAGGGAGAGAGCACAUCUCAGAGGUCAAGAUCAUGACCUUGGAGUAAGACAGCUUUGUGUUUCAUUCUCUACUCUGUGGCCUCAGGCAAGUUACUUUAUUUCUAAGUUUCCUCAUUUGUAAAAUGAGACUAUCAAUCAAUUAUUACCUUAUUGGAUUUAGGUUAGAGUUAAUGAGGUCAUGCAUAGAAUACUCAGCAUUGUGCCUAGCCUAGUCAAUAUUAGUAAAGUGUUGUUAUUCUUACAAUAAUAACUACUAGUUUUAGUUUUAGUGCCAGAAUUAUACCAAAGAAUCAAUUCAUCAGAUUCUGUCUUAUGAAGUUGACAGCAACACCUAACACAAUGACAGCAAUUACUGAGCCAACAGUGAGGU